UUUGUUUAGUGCUUGUAAAUUAGUAAUUGUUUUUAAAAGUAACUUUAUUUAGUGUAGUGUGAAUUUGUGUUUCUUUUUACUUAUACAUUUACAAAAUAAAUGAGUUGUCGUCUAUUCAGUGACCUGGAUUUCUGACAUAGGCUUCUGAGAAUUGAGACAACAAAUGGGUAAUCCGAUGUCCCAGAAGAAUCGGUGCUUUGCUUACGGAAGUUCCAGCAAUUUGCCUUAAGGCGCAAUGCCACGCGGCCCACUAGUUAUCAUAUAUAUUUUGGAGACAAUAUGUUAACACCGUGACUCAAGACUUUUUGCCAAUAUUCAACUUAACCACUGGGAUGACAGAUAUAAUAUUGGCUAUUAUUUGGAUGUGCUUUCUGGAGAUGGUGCAACUCACGAGAUGCAGCCCUAAAUACCUGUGUGUUGGAGUCAUAUG